UCCCUGAGACCCUUAUCCUGUGAGGGAGCCCAGAGCUCACAGGUGAGGCCUUGGGAACU
rnacentral:pre_miRNA from 1 species